UGUGGCCUACGGGACGCAGCAGUAGGGAAUAUUGCUCAAUGGGGGAAACCCUGAAGCAGCAACGCCGUGUGGAGGAUGAAGGUUUUCGGAUUGUAAAUUCCUUUUGUUAGAGAAGAUAAUGACGGUAUCUAACGAAUAAGCACCGGCUAACUCCGUGCCAGCAGCCGCGGUAAUACGGAGGGUGCAAGCGUUACUCGGAAUCACUGGGCGUAAAGAGCGCGUAGGCGGGAUAGCAGGUCAGAUGUGAAAUCCUAUGGCUUAACCAUAGAACUGCAUUUGAAACCGUUAUUCUAGAGUAUGGGAGG
rnacentral:rRNA from 1 species